rfam:Fusarium oxysporum f. sp. lycopersici 4287 chromosome 5, whole genome shotgun sequence.
GGCCGCGUGGCCUAAUGGCUAAGGCGCUAGAUUUCGGCUUUCGAGCAAAUAGAGAAAUCUCUAGAGAUUCCAGGUUCGACUCCUGGCGUGGUCG